rnacentral:rRNA from 1 species
GUACGACGGAGCACGUGAAAUUCCGUCGGAAUCUGGGAGGACCAUCUCCUAAGGCUAAAUACUCUCUAGUGACCGAUAGUGAACCAGUACCGUGAGGGAAAGGUGAAAAGCACCCCGGAAGGGGAGUGAAAUAGAACCUGAAACCGUGUGCUUACAAGUAGUCAGAGCCCGUUAAUGGGUGAUGGCGUGCCUUUUGUAGAAUGAACCGGCGAGUUACGAUUUGAUGCAAGGUUAA